UUCCCCAAAAAAAGGGGGGGAGAAAAAAAAAAAAAAGGGGGAAUUUUUUAAAAACCCCCUUUUUUUUUUUUUUAAAAGGGUUUUUUUUUUAAAAAUUUUCCCCUUAUUU